rnacentral:rRNA from 1 species
CCCAGAUUAGGUAGUAACAACCAUUUGAGUCUGGGAUUUCUGAAUGGGGAAACCCACGUGCAUAAGCACGUAUCCUUACCUGAAUACAUAGGGUAAGGAGGCGAACCGGGGGAACUGAAACAUCUAAGUACCCCGAGGAAAAGAAAUCAACCGAGAUUCCGAAAGUAGCGGCGAGCGAAAUUGGACUAGCCCUUAAGCUUUACACGCGUUAGACGAACGGUCUGGAAAGUCCGACGAUACAGGGUGAUAGUCCCGUAGUUGACGACGUGUGUUCAGUGAAAUCGAGUAGGGCGGGACACGUGAUAUCCUGUCUGAAUAUGGGGGGACCAUCCUCCAAGGCUAAAUACUACUGACUGACCGAUAGUGAACCAGUACCGUGAGGGAAAGGCGAAAAGAACCCCUGUGAGGGGAGUGAAAUAGAACCUGAAACCGUGUACGUACAAGCAGUAGGAGCAGGCUUUGUCCUGUGACUGCGUACCUUUUGUAUAAUGGGUCAGCGACUUAUAUUCAGUGGCAAGGUUAACCAUCUAGGGGAGCCGUAGGGAAACCGAGUCUUAACUGGGCGUUCAGUCUCUGGAUAUAGACCCGAAACCAGGUGAUCUAGCCAUGGGCAGGUUGAAGGUUGAGUAACAUCAACUGGAGGACCGAACCGACUAAUGUUGAAAAAUUAGCGGAUGACUUGUGGCUAGGGGUGAAAGGCCAAUCAAACCUGGAGAUAGCUGGUUCUCCCCGAAAGCUAUUUAGGUAGCGCCUCGGACGAAUACUACUGGGGGUAGAGCACUGUUAAGGCUAGGGGGUCAUCCCGACUUACCAACCCUUUGCAAACUCCGAAUACCAGUAAGUACUAUCCGGGAGACACACGGCGGGUGCUAACGUCCGUCGUGGAGAGGGAAACAACCCAGACCGCCAGCUAAGGUCCCAAAUUACUACUAAGUGGGAAACGAUGUGGGAAGGCUCAGACAGCCAGGAUGUUGGCUUAGAAGCAGCCAUCAUUUAAAGAAAGCGUAAUAGCUCACUGGUCGAGUCGGCCUGCGCGGAAGAUGUAACGGGGCUAAGUAGUAAACCGAAGCUGCGGCAAUAUACUUUUGUAUAUUGGGUAGGGGAGCGUUCUGUAAGCGGUUGAAGGUGUGUGGUAACGCAUGCUGGAC